ensembl:lncRNA
UUGAUAUGAUGGUGAGGUGUGACCUGAUUCAUGUGGGUGGUGAGGUGUGCCCUUAUUAAUAUGGGUGGUUUGGUGUGAGUGGACCAUUGCGGAUGGUGAGGUGUGACCUGGUCAAAAUGGGGGGUGAGAUGUGACCUGAUCAAUAUGGGUGGUGAGGUGUGUCCUGAUUGAUGUGAUGGUGAGGUGUGACCUGAUUAAUAUGGGUGGUGAGGUGUGACCUGAUCAAUAUGGGGGGUGAGGUGCGACCUGAUUAAUAUGUGUGGCGAGGUGUAACCUGAUUAAUAUG